GUAUUUGUCCACGCUGCCCACGCGUCGAUCAUCGUCGACUGCUCCGCUUCCACCAUCUCGAAUUUUCCUUCGGUUUCGACUUCUUUCUCUCACAAAGCUGGACUUUUCAUUUUCUUCCGGUAGUCCUCCAUUUGGUACACGAACUCCUGUUCUCUCUCCCUAUUUUGCACGAACCAGAACAUAUGUUGUCUAUCCCGUUCCGAUUCAAAUAAAUUCCUGAAGGGGCUUAGAUUUCGUGUCCAAUUCCACUCUGCCAUACCCAGGAAAGCUUGGCUUCCGUUCUGAUUUGAAGAAAUUUUAAACCCAGAAAGCUUGGGUUUCCAGUCCCGACAAAAGUACUUGGAGACUUGCAGCAGAUGCAAACUCUCUUCUUAUCUAAAACUGUUUACUAUCAGGUCUUUCUUGUGUCACAUGGGUAUCAUGGAUUGCUCAAAAAUGUCUCAAAGACGUAAAGAGAUUUAUUAUGUAGCUCCGACUAUGCGGACUACGAAGCUAGCAAACAAUGGUGCAGAAAUUGCUGUUUGUUCUUGCUAAGACUGUUUUCACUUGGUUCUCUGGAGACUAUCAUUUACACAGUCACCGCAUUAUUACUUGCACAAUCGUUGUACUCCAUCUGCUUCUCUGGGUUCGUCGAUGGGACUCUUCGCCUGCAUCCUUUUUUGCAUGCGGACUUGCACAGUCGCCAUAAUUAGAGCAGAGGCAACUUUUUUUUUUUUUUUUUUUAAGCGGGCUUUGAGUAUUAGUGCAGUCACUCUCUAUAUAAGUAGGGUAGACUUUGAUUUAAGUAAUACAACAUCGGGUUUUGACUUUGCCUCUUGCUGUACUUCGACAACCUUCGCUUGCUCUUCGUUGUGUGCUGCCUUAUUGCUUUGAUCCCAAAGCUGUUCGUCCCAUUAGAGAUCCUAGCAUGCCGCUUUCUUUUCUGGAGAUCAUUGUAUAUACAUACGUAUAUAAUUGCACCGCAACUGCCUUUCGUGUUGCUUUAACGUUGCACUACCUGCCAUUCUUGCUUCACCACCCUCGCUGUACUGCCAUUCUUGCUGCAUUGUCUUGUUUCUUUGCUGCGACGUGUUCUUCGCGUCUGUCGUGUGGUGACCUCGGUGCUUGGACAAGAAGAGUGGCUACGAGUGCAGGUUUGAACCACAAGAGCGAGUUGCUGUUCGUGGGAGUUCAGUUGCAGUGGAAAGAGAGAGAGAUGUUGCUGCAAAGGGGAAGAAGAUAAGAUAUGGCAUAGCAAAUUCCUCCGUGCAAUUUCUCUCAGCAGAGCACGACUCCAAUCCUUUGGGUUAUAUGAUAGAGAGAGACGUUGCUGCAGACAGGAAGAAGAGAAGGCAGGGUAUAGCAAAUUCCUUCGUGCAACCUUCAUUUUGUGAGGCCUUUUUUUUAUUUUUUGUUUUUUAUUUUUUAAGUAAUAGAUUUGACAUGUGUGUGUGUGUGUAUAUAUAUAUAUAUAUGUAUGUACACAGACAUUGAUUGUCCCAUCACCUUUUGUGUGUGUGUGUGUGUGUAUAGAUAUAAUAUGAUGUGUCUAUUUUUUAUGCACAAUGUAUAUGCCCCCACUGAUGGAUUUCUUUACUGUGAUGCUAGAAUUCUUUUAAUUUUGAGAAGGCAGAGCAUAAUGCUGAGAUCCUUAUGAAGUUUUUAAGAGACGUGGUAGUAGGACGUGAGUGUAUUUGCUGCCUAGUGCUUGUGCAAGAGACUGCAACGAGGUUUUGCUGUGUAUUGCCUUUUGAUCACUGUUUUCCCUCGAUGGUACGCUGCCGUGUGGUGCUGUGCAAGAGACUGCAACGGGGCUUCACUGUGUAAUGCGUGACGUCAACGUGCGAUGCAAGAAACUGCUUGCGUAGUCGCUGCGGGUUUGUGUAGUGCAAUUACGUAACAUUUUGGUUUCUUUUGCUACUGUAGCGUGCCUUGAAGGACCGCUCUGUAGCUGCCCUCUUUGUCGUGCUGCUCAAGUUUUGUGGCUGAUUUUUUUUUUUUUGUUUUGCGGUUAUGAUGUUUUUCAAAUGUUUUAAGAACACCAUCACCUUUCUUGCGAAGGAAGAUGAUUCGCAAGAUGAAGGAACAACGUUGAAGCUUUACGCGCCAUUGACUGGUCCUAAGGCGCUUGCUCUUCUCGCGAAAGACAACUCUAUGCAUAUUAAGUCGUGGUCCUUUGAAGUAUCUUGGGAUGUGGUACACUCUGUUCUACCAAAUACGAAGAAAAAGGCGUGCACAUCGAUGAUUCUUAUUUUGAAUCUUUUGCACCAUGCUCGUGAUCAUCAUCCGGCCUCGUUUAAACUUCUUGGUGAUCACAUCCACAGCGGAGCCAUGACUUGGAAUGGUACCCUAUCGACUACUGGAAAAGCUGUCUUUGAUGAGUUUUAUUGGGAGUGACUUGAAGAUGUCCUAAGCCGAUCUAAAGAUGUACUUACUAACGUGGGCCUUUACCACGCUGUGUAUGCAUUUUUGUUUAGUUAUGAUCGUCAUCCUUCCGUCAUUCGUGCGUUCUUUGAGCAUUGGUGUUCAGCGACCAACACACUUGACACGGCACAAUGGGAGAUGUCAAUUUCACUUUGGGAUCUUUAUAGGAUAUGAGGCUUGCCGAUCCAAGGUAAGUUUUAUGACGAUGUCGUUCCCAGCGCGGAUGAACUUUCUCUUUGCAAUAGCUGAGAAUUGCAUGUGAGUUGCCGUUAUUUGUUUUGGGCGUAUCACAAGCUUUUCCAGGAUGCUCAAGGUAAAUUGAGGAUUUCAUCAUGGAUCAGAUUUUGGUUUACUGGGAGGCCAUGAGGUAUAAGCAGUGUUCUAAAAAUCGGCCUAGGCGGUGCCUAGGCGCUGGGCAGUGGCCAACCGUCGAGAUUAAUGCAAAAUCGGGAGAAAAAUUGGGACAUGGAUUAGGUGGGUGCUGAGGCGACUUGAGUGGCCCUUGGGCGGCCUAGGUGGUCUGGGAAUUUCAAUUUUUUGUGUUCGAACUUGAGAAAUGAUGAAUGCAUAUUAGCUGUGUUCUGGUUUUUCUGGGUUUCAUGAGUUGCCUGUGUUCUUGCGAAGAGGAAGAAGAUGAGAAAAAACUAAUUUCUCUCUCUUCCUUCCACACCCACGUGAUCACUUUCAAAUUAUUUAAUGUAAUUUUUGUUUUGUUUUGUUUCUAUCCAAUUGGAUAGCUAGCUUGACUUUUAUAAAGAAAAAAGGCUGUCACCUAUCAAUCCAUCCAUAGCAUCAAGUGCUAUUAAUUUUUUUCCUAUUAAAAAAACAUUAGAUUGUCAGGCCGUUUCAUAGCAUAAGUCCUAUUGAUUUUCUAUACUUGUUAGAUACACAUUUUAUUAUUUUUUUACUAUCUUAUU